GGAAAGAAAACGCUCUGGUUAAUACCCGGGGCGGAUGACGGUACCGGAAGAAUAAGCACCGGCUAACUACGUGCCAGCAGCCGCGGUAAUACGUAGGGUGCAAGCGUUAAUCGGAAUUACUGGGCGUAAAGCGUGCGCAGGCGGUCCGCUAAGACAGAUGUGAAAUCCCCGGGCUUAACCUGGGAACUGCAUUUGUGACUGGCGGGCUAGAGUAUGGCAGAGGGGGGUAGAAUUCCACGUGUAGCAGUGAAAUGCGUAGAGAUGUGGAGGAAUACCGAUGGCGAAGGCAGCCCCCUGGGCCAAUACUGACGCUCAUGCACGAAAGCGUGGGGAGCAAACAGGAUUAGAUACCCUGGUAGUCCACGCCCUAAACGAUGUCAACUAGUUGUCGGGUCUUCAUUGACUUGGUAACGAAGCUAACGCGUGAAGUUGACCGCCUGGGGAGUACGGUCGCAAGAUUAAAACUCAAAGGAAUUGACGGGGACCCGCACAAGCGGUGGAUGAUGUGGAUUAAUUCGAUGCAACGCGAAAAACCUUACCUACCCUUGACAUGUAUGGAAUCCUGCUGAGAGGUGGGAGUGCCCGAAAGGGAGCCAUAACACAGGUGCUGCAUGGCUGUCGUCAGC
rnacentral:rRNA from 1 species